rnacentral:rRNA from 1 species
UGCCUACGGGGCGCAGCAGUAGGGAAUCUUCCACAAUGGACGAAAGUCUGAUGGAGCAACGCCGCGUGAGUGAAGAAGUAUUUCGGUAUGUAAAGCUCUAUCAGCAGGGAAGAAGAUGACGGUACCUGACUAAGAAGCCCCGGCUAACUACGUGCCAGCAGCCGCGGUAAUACGUAGGGGGCAAGCGUUAUCCGGAUUUACUGGGUGUAAAGGGAGCGUAGACGGCAGGGCAAGUCUGGAGUGAAAGCCCGGGGCCCAACCCCGGGACUGCUUUGGAAACUGCCAUGCUAGAGGGCUGGAG